rnacentral:ncRNA from 1 species
UUAAAAGCUGUGAAGAGAAUCAACGGUAGUUUUUCAAUCCCUGUUUAUAGAGAGUCAGCGGUUGGUGGAAGCUGAUACAUAUUGAAGAAUGAAUUACGUCUCAGAGCUUUCACCGUGAAGAUAAAAGUAGCGGAGAACGGCAAAAAACCGUUAACUUUUCGAGUAGGAGGGAAUUUCCCUCAAGCUGGGUGGUACCGCGCAUAUAGCGUCCCUGCA